rnacentral:rRNA from 1 species
UACGUAGGCGGCAAGCGUUGUCCGGAUUUACUGGGCGUAAAGGGAGCGUAGGCGGACUUUUAAGUGGGAUGUGAAAUACCCGGGCUCAACCUGGGUGCUGCAUUCCAAACUGGAAGUCUAGAGUGCGGGAGAGGAGAGUGGAAUUCCUAGUGUAGCGGUGAAAUGCGUAGAGAUUAGGAAGAACACCAGUGGCGAAGGCGACUCUCUGGACCGUAACUGACGCUGAGGCUCGAAAGCGUGGGGAGCAAACAGG